GACGAACGCUGGCGGCGUGCUUAACACAUGCAAGUCGAACGAAGUGGCGAACGGGUGAGUAACGCGUAAUCAACCUGCCCUUCAGAGGGGGACAACAGUUGGAAACGACUGCUAAUACCGCAUACUGAAGGAGGGGAUUGCGUCUGAUUCGCUAGUUGGAGGGGUAACGGCCCACCAAGGCGAUGAUCAGUAGGCGGUCUGGGAGGGUGGACGGCCACAUUGGGACGUGGAAACGGCCCAGACUCCUACGGGAGGCAGCAGUGGGGAAACUUCCGCAAUGGACGAAAGUCUGACGGAGCAACGCCGCGCGAGUGAUGACGGUCUUUGGGUUGUAAAGCUCUGUUAAUCGGGACGCGGUACCGGAAUAGAAAGCCACGGCUAACUCCGUGCCAGCAGCCGCGGUAAUUC
rnacentral:rRNA from 1 species